UCUACCUACGGGACGCAGCAGUCGGGAAUAUUGCGCAAUGGAGGAAACUCUGACGCAGUGACGCCGCGUGCAGGAAGAAGGUUUUCGGAUUGUAAACUGCUUUAGACAGGGAAGAAAAAAGACAGUACCUGUAGAAUAAGCUCCGGCUAACUACGUGCCAGCAGCCGCGGUAAUACUUAGGGAGCAAGCGUUAUCCGGAUUUAUUGGGUUUAAAGGGUGCGCAGGCGGCCUGUUAAGUCAGCGGUAAAAGCCCGGGGCUCAACCCCGGCGAGCCGUUGAAACUGGCGGGCUGGAGUUGGAGAGAA
rnacentral:rRNA from 1 species